CCUACGGGAGGCAGCAGCAAGGAAUUUUCGGCAAUGGGCGCAAGCCUGACCGAGCAACGCCGCGUGGAGGAUGACGGCCUUCGGGUUGUAAACUCCUUUUGCGGGGGAUGAUGAUGACCGUACCCCGCGAAUCAGGCUCGGCUAACUCUGUGCCAGCAGCCGCGGUAAU
rnacentral:rRNA from 1 species